CACGGCAACCUCUACAAACGGCAUAUAAUAUGCGACUUCAAAUAAGGCGAUGGAAUCCUAGAAAUUUAACUGGCAAGACAGGGUGAAGCAUAGGAUCAUGGGUAAGUGUUGCGUUCAAGUAGCAAUAGGCUUACGAUAUUACUGUCGUUGAUAGGGAUUGAAGAAGUUUAAACUCAAACAAACAGAACUUCCAGGGAUAUCGUCAGCUGGGAAGCUUUUUACAUUUAAACAACCUAUACAAUUCCAAAAUCAUUUAGAUCAAGGAACUCCAUUGUCUAUUCAUUGCGGUUCAAGUAGGACCGAUUUUGGUAAAAAUAUUUUACAGCCAGAAGAAGAAUUUAAGUGGAAAUUCGUACCUUUUCCAUUGGAAAAAGCUAUUUGCAAUGUAAACGCAUACUUAGCUAUCUAUGGUCCAUGGGGUUUAUGGUGUGCUAAAAUGGAUUGAAUCUAUUAUUACC